AUUGAACGCUGGCGGCAGGCCUAACACAUGCAAGUCGAACGAGUGGCGGACGGGUGAGUAAUGUCUGGGAAACUGCCCGAUGGAGGGGGAUAACUACUGGAAACGGUAGCUAAUACCGCAUACCAUCGGAUGUGCCCAGAUGGGAUUAGCUAGUAGGUGGGGUAACGGCUCACCUAGGCGACGAUCCCUAGCUGGUCUGAGAGGAUGACCAGCCACACGGGAAUGGAGAUACGGUCAAGAGUCCGACGGGAGGCAGCAGUGGGGAAUAUGGCACAAUGGGCGCAAGCCUGAUGCAGCCAUGCCGCGUGUAUGAAGAAGGCCUUCGGGUUGGAAAGUACUUUCCGCGAGGAGGCGUUACUCGCAGAAGAAGCACCGGCUAAUUCCGUGCCAGCCGCCGCGGUAAUAC
rnacentral:rRNA from 1 species